rnacentral:lncRNA from 1 species
GUUUUCAAAUAUCAAGUGUACUCAGGUUCAUACCACUAUACUAUAUGAUUGAUAUAGUAUAGUAUGUUUAUAAUAUGAUUUACUAUAUACCCAAAUAUAAACCCAAAUAGAAUGUAUAUAAUAUGGUUUACUAUACCCAAACCUUUACUUAGUAAAUCUAAACCCUAGGCAGGAACCUAUAAACUCAAAUACAAUCUAUAAAUUGUUUUCCAAUAUUAAACACUUGAAAGCACAUUUACUUCAAAUAAAUAGAUUAAGCUAAACCCUAAUCAAGAAAAUAUAAACUCAAAUAGAAUAUAUAUAAUAUGGUUUACUAUACCCAAACCUUUACUUAGUAAAUCUAAACCCUAAACUCUAAUCACUAAACCCUAACUCAAAUAUAAACCCUAAACCCAAAUAUAAACACAAAACCCAAAUAGAAUGGAACAAAAUAAAUAACAUAGUACAUACUGGUGAAACUAUAAAAUAUCUAUGAUUGCAUGAAAGAAAUUAAUGCUCACCCCAACCAUAUCCCCUCACCUUCUAAAUACUAAACCUUACAUUCUAGUCAUUAAACCCUAAUCCAAAUAUACCCUAACCCUAAACCUAAAUAAAUAGAUUAAGCUAAACCCUAAUCAAGGAAGUAUAAACCCAAAUAUAAUGUAUAUAAUAUGGUUUACUAUACCUAAACUUUUACUUAAUAAAUCUAAACUCUAGGCAGAAACCUAUAAACCCAAAUACAAUCUAUAAAUUGUUUUUCAAUAUUUAACACUUGAAAUCACAUUUACUUGGUUAGCAUAUUACAUAUCUUAUAUUCCAUAUAUUCUAAGUAGUAUAGUAAACGAAUGUUCCAAAUAAUUAAAUUUGUCCAACACUCGAAAAAUGAAUUUCAUAUUACAAUCAAUCACACAAAUUGACAAAGAAGAGACCUAUCAAAUUUAAAAACAUGACAUAUUAUUACAUUUUUAAAGAGUAGUAUAGAAAUAUGUCUCAAAUAGUAUGGUAACUGUACAUAAGUAGCUAUACUUAAAAAUAUAUACUAUACUAUUCAUUUCACCAAAUAUAGUAUAGAUGGCGAAUUCAUCUUCUUCAAUUCUUUUUUUUUUAGAUAGGCUGAUACAUAUUCAUUUCGUUCACCACCAUAUAUAGAGAUCAUCUUUAUCUCCUCUCUUUUUCCCAACACGAUGAUGCUUUAACCGAUUCGCCGUCGUUGUUCUUCACCACUAGAUCUGUAAAACAAAAACAUAAAGGAAAACAUAGUAUGUAAACAAAACCAUGAUUGUGAGAAUCAAUUGAUUUAAGAAAAAAAAGGAGAAAAAAAAGUUUUUGUGUGUGCUCACCGUCUACGUUUUCAUCGCUGUCUGUUCUUCACCACUGGAUCUUUAAAACAAAAACAGAAACGAAAACAGAGUAUGAAAACAAAAGCAUAAUUGUGAGAAUCAAUUGAUUUAAAAAAAAAUGAAAGAGUUGUUGUGUGUGCUCACCGUCUAUGACUUCAUCGUUGUCUCUUCUUUAAAAUUGAUUGUUGUUUUAGUGAAGUAUUGAAAGAGAAAAAUUAAGUGAGAGAAGAAAAUGUAUGAUUUUUUUGAUAAUCUGAAGAAGAAAGAGAUAUACUAGAAAGAGAUGGUGGAGUAGAGACGUGGAGGUGAUGGUGAUGUAUUAGAAGAUGUGGCUAAAAGUUUUUUUAUAUAUUUUUAAUUAUUUUUGUUAACAUGUUUCACCGGUUGAUUGUAAAGAUAAUAUGGCAAUAAUCUAUAAUGUGUAUAGUGUAUAUUGAAAAAACAGGGUUUUUAGUUAGUGGAUGAAUUAUAAUUUGUUUGAUGGACGUAGGAUGCAAUUCUCCUUGAUCUUUUGCGUAAUUGCUUCUAACUUCUUAUAUUUAUUAGAAAGUCUCGUUACAAAGAUCAUUUGACUCGUUAUACAUAUUAGAAAGUCUAAACUGCUUGCAGGUUUUCAAUUUUCUUCUUUUUUCAAGUUUAAAACAAAAACAAGUAAACAAAACAUAUGAUAUUACGUGUAUACGCACACCAAAUAACCUAAUGUGCACACUACCACAAUCGAAUGGUAUGUCGAUGUAGCACUUUAGGAUCGAAUCCACAGAGACCAAUUGUUACACUUUAUUUCUAUAGGAUCAAUAUUAAGCUAAAACAGUAUGGGGGUUUAAGAUUGAGGUAUUAUAACAGAAAACAAAAGACUAAUUAAAAGGUUUUCAGAUGAUUAAAAGAGCUAGGUUCAGGGUGAUUCAUUGGGAUACUUAGGAUCAUGAGCUACACAACUAUUCAGGAAAACAAUACGAGCCAAUCUAGAACUUGAACAACAAGAAUAGAUAAACCCACUGUCGUGGUGUCUACCAAUUUAUCAAGCAAUCCUAAUGCCUAAACUGUCGUUUGGAUCAGAGAAUGAUGACAAGCAUUAAGUUCAGAUUCAAUUGGUUCACGAUUCGCCUUAACAUCAGCUUUCGUUGGCUAAGGACAAAUCGCCUAUCUAUGCUAUUUCCAGUAACCUAAAACACUUUUGAUGAAUAGAUUAAACUUGUGAUCAGAUGCUAAAUGGCCAGUUUAACAUAAGCAAUAAGCAUAACAAUAGACAGAGAUAUCAAAGAAUAACAAUCCUAUUUGUGUCUAGCUCAUUGAUCCAUGAUCCUUAACACCCUAAACCUAACAAGCGACUACUCAGACAUGGACAAAGAAAUCACAGAGACAAAGACUGAAUAAAACAUCAUGCAAUUCAAUAGAAUAAGAAUAGGGUUCAGGAUAAUCUUCUCUAUGACGAGAGAGAUGGAGCCUUCUCCCUUUACAAUAAGCAAAUCCUCAAAUUCUAAAGUCUCCAAUGGUUUUCUUCUGUCUAGAAUAGCGUAGAAUGAUAAAGAGAAACAGAAAAUAUGAUAUAUCAAAGCCACAGGCGGCUGGGAGAGAAAAUAUGGAUAAUUAGGGCAAAUCCCGUAAUGAUUGUAGUUUCCUUAAAAAUCUCUGCCGCUGGAACACUCACUCGGAACAGUCACAGUGUUGCCAGGUACAUAUUCAUAUAUACUUGCUUAACCAGACCAUCAUGAUGCCAAACAAUAAUUUAAACUCAGAUAUGAAUACGUAUGGCAUUUGUUUUUCUCAGCUUUUGAUCGAUAAGGGUGCCUCUUUAGCUGCCAUUAACUCUAACGGGUUAGAUGUUUUCUUUGUUUCUCUGCCUGCAAACCCUAAUCCAAUUUGAUAUAAACCGCAGUGUCUUUAUCCGUUUGGUGUUUCUUGGUUUUAGAUGGACGCCAUUGAUGGUUGCUCGCUCAUGGCACCGGAACUGUCUUGAAGAAGUCCUGAACCCAACCACAGAGCAGCCACAAAGCCAACUGCCAAAAGUCCCUUCUCCUUUCCUCUGCCUUCCUCUAAUGAGCAUUGUCAAGAUUGCUCAGUAAGUAAACAUCUUAGACCUAACUGAAACACUCAAUGUGAUGAAAGAGUCUCUGGGAUUUUGAUUAUGUUUGUGGGUUUCAGGGAAUGUGGCUGGAGACGAGAUGACUGUCUCACUCCAUGCCGUGACCCUUGCGCCGUUUGUUUGGAAAGAAAGUGCACCGUAGCAGCAGAUGGUAAUGUAUCAAACUUUCUCCAAGUCCAAUCUGCUUAACUAGAACAUUGAACUGAUUGUGUGUGUGUGUGUGGGGCAUAAUAGGAUGUGGUCAUGAGUUCUGCACUAACUGUGCGUUAUACCUAAGCACCACAAACAUAACAUCGUCAAAGACAUCACAAGCUACACCAGGCUCAGUCCCAUGUCCUCUCUGUCGCUACGGCAUUGUCUCUUUCACCAAACUCCCCCAUACGAUACCAACAACAACAGCAACAUCAUCAAGAACAAGCAUCUCCUUGUCCUUCUGCACUUGCUCCUCCUCUGAUGUCUUGGAUACAGGUGCUCUCCUCACCGACCCUCACUACAGCUGUAAACCGGUUGUUUCAAGAACCGGUUCACAAUCCGUUGGGUCAUCGUCCUUUCGGUCUCUUAGCUGCCGGUUUCCUCCAAGUCUCUGCCUCGGUGGCUCGGAUGUUGAUGAACCGCAAAGCCGGUUAAUGAAUGGAUCAUAUUCAAGAUCCGGUUUAGGGUCCAGGAGAUCCACGUCGGAGGUUGAAGGGAAACGUUCUUGGUUUUGUGCUCUUAACCAUUGUGUUACGACCGGUGGAAGUCCUUGCUAAUACUUUUUGUUCUUUCUUUCUCUUUUUUAAUUUUUGUUCCCAUUUUCUUGGAGAAAUUGGUUCUGUGAAUGGUGUGGUGAUUAUUCAUUUUGUAAUAAUUGGAAAUGUGACAAAUAUAAUUAAUUUGGGUUUGCCAUUUACAUUGAAAUGGUGUAUAUAAAUAUUUUUUGUGGGUGUGUAUAUAACGUCGUUAGUAUCAUACAUUCAUGCUUGUAGUAAACAGAGGCUUACAGAUUAAAAUAGUACAUACGUUUAGGAUGUUUAGAUAGUCUUAUGAGAGCAACACAAGUAAUCGAGAAAUUAUGGGACUAUAAAAUUUACAUAAAGCUCAGGAGGAAAAGAUAGAAUAAAACACAGAAAAUGUUACAGAAAAAUAAAAGAUCAAAGAAAACAAAAGAACAAUGCAACAUUAAUGAGGCUUGCAAGGUCAAGAAAAAACCUUCAAAAACAUUAAUUUUGUGUUUCUCAAAUGAAGAAAAAAAGAGCUCAGCAAGGAUAAUGCCACUAGAUCACUAACAAAGAAUGAGUUUUCUUCUCCGUAAGAUACUUAUGCGUUCCAAAGUACUUCUAUUAUCUAAUGGAGAAAGAAAAAGAAGUUGAAAGAGAGAAAUGAUAAUCGUGAUGACCAUAAAUAUCAUGAUAAUUAUGAUAAUGAUGAUCACCUUAUGAUUUAGAAAGAAGAAGAAUGAUCUGAUGUCAUGAUAAUUAUGAUAAUGAUGAUCAUCUCAUGAUCAAGAAAGAAGAGGAAUGAUAUAGUGCUUUUGCUCUGAAGUGAUGAUGAGGUAAGGGGGCAAGUGAGGUUGGGUUUAUAAUAGGAGGAUGAAAUUAACGGAAAGCUAUACCUCUAUAAUUAAUAUAAUAUAGGGCUUAUUUGGUGAAUAACCUAAAUCAUAAGUGAAAUUAAGUGCAUGUUUAUGAUGUUGACAUAAUUAAGUAAGUAACAAUUAUGUCUCUUUUGAUCCGGCCUCUCUCGUACAAGUAGCAGGUGAAAGAAAGAAGGUAAUGCCACAUCACUUAAAUUAAAUAUGGCUAAUAAUGAAACCACAUCACACACAUACAAACCACAUCAUCCAAAUUAAAUGAGGCCACAUCAUACACAUACAAACCACAUAUGUUUUAUUGUUUCAGUAAAUAUGUAGAGGAUAAUAGAAAAACAAUAGUUUGAUAAAUGGUGUAAUCCAUUCAUUUGUGUAAAUAUAAUGAUGUCGUUCUCCAUUAAAGAAUAAAUGUUGACAAAUGUGUAGAUGAUGUAAUAUGGUAAAGUUACAAUGUCUUGCAUACAAUUCCUUAAAGAAUUGAAUAUCUCUAAUCUAAUCAGGAUAUGUCAACCUACAUCCAAGAUAUAAACAGUUUCUCACGUUUUCAAAUAUCAAGUGUACCUAGGUUCAUACCACUAUACUAUAUGGCGGAUAUAGUAUAGUACGUUUACAGUGUACUGUGAAGUAAACUUUAGUAGCAAGAUUAUAUGGAUGUUCAGCUACUAUAUUAUUGGAUAGUAUAGACUGACCCUAUGAAAUGGAUGAGUUCAUAUCACUAAUACAAGUAACGGAGCAACGAGGGUGAGUUAUUGAAACCCCCACCCAGAUGAUAACACUAAACUCUAACCUGGAAAUGUCAACCCACAUCCGAGAUAUAAACAGUUUUCCCCGUUUUCAAAUAAUGACAUUAACCAGGUUCAUAAUACUAUACUACACGGUGGAUAUAGUAUAGUACUUUUAGAGUGUACGAGGAACUAAACUUUAGUUCUGGUUCAAUAAUUCAGAGGACUUUAGUAGCAAGGUUAUAUGAAUGUUCUACUAUUCAAUUAUUGAAUAGAAUAGACUGACACUACGACAUUGACGGGUUCAUAUCACUAAACCCUAACCCAAACAUAAACCCUAAGCCCAAACAUAAACACAAAACCCAAAUAGAAUAGAACAAAAUAAAUAACAUGGUACAUAUAGGUGAAACUAUAAAAUAUCUAUUAUUCCAUGAAAGAAGUUAAUGAUCACCCUAACCAUACGCCCUCACCUUCUAAAUACUAAACCCUAAAUUAUAGUCACUAAACUCUAAUCUAAAUAUACCCUAAACCCUAAACCUAAACAAAUAUAUUAAGCUAAACCCUAAUCAAGGAAGUAUAAAACCAAAUAGAAUGUAUAUAAUAUG